GCCUCGGUAGCGUAGUGGUCAAGACGCUCGCCUGGUAAAGAGGAGGGCGUGGGUUCGAUCCCAGCCGAGGCG
rnacentral:tRNA from 1 species